rnacentral:rRNA from 1 species
GUGUCAGCAGCCGCGGUAAUACGUAGGGGGCAAGCGUUGUCCGGAUUUACUGGGUGUAAAGGGAGCGUAGGCGGGUAUUUAAGUCAGAUGUGAAAACUAUGGGCUCAACCCAUAGACUGCAUUUGAAACUGGAUAUCUUGAGUGCAGGAGAGGAAAGCGGAAUUCCUAGUGUAGCGGUGAAAUGCGUAGAUAUUAGGAGGAACACCAGUGGCGAAGGCGGCUUUCUGGACUGUAACUGACGCUGAGGCUCGAAAGUGUGGGGAGCAAACAGGAUUAGAUACCCUGGUAGUCCACACCGUAAACGAUGGAUACUAGGUGUAGGAGGUAUCGACCCCUUCUGUGCCGGAGUUAACACAAUAAGUAUCCCACCUGGGGAGUACGGCCGCAAGGUUGAA